rnacentral:misc_RNA from 1 species
GGAGGUCCUUGCAGUGUUCAACAAUGGCUCCAAAACCAUCAUCUAAUGGCUGAAGGGUUAUGUAAUCAGGGGCUCGCGGUUCAAUAAUACAAAGACGAAAGCGAGUCAUGUUUGGACGGUUCCUGGCAAUUGUUGCCAAGGCAUCAUUAGUCAUUUGACGGCAAAAGUACAAAACUGAGUGAAGCUUAGGGCAGCCCUCAGAAACAGAGACAAGGCCCUGUUCUGUCAAGGAUACAUUUGGUUCCUGGGCAAACGGCUCAGAUGGGAAAACCCUCAGUUCUCGCAGGUCCUUGCAAAAUGCUGCAAGAGCU